rnacentral:lncRNA from 1 species
UAGUAAAAAAAAAAUAAAACAAUAAUUAUUCUUCAAAGAGCUAGCAAAAUCAGAAAACAUGUAAAUAAAACACUACAAAUAUAACAAAAAGGAAAAUCAAAGGCAUAAUAAAUAAUUAUUCUGGUGGGGAUGCUUGCAAAAUGUUACACUAAGCUCAAUUUUAUGAUCUGCAGCAACAAUAAGAUGCUUGAUUAAACUUUAAGACCAUAUGCUCACCGUUGAAUCUUGAUACCUGCAAAAAUCCAUAAGUUAAAUAAAGCAACCCAGGUGAAAAUCAACCUUAAAUGAAAUCAUAUAAUAUAUAUAUAUAUAUAUAUAUAUAUAUAUAUAUAUAUAUAUAUAUAUAUAUAUAUAUAUAAUGUUUUAACCUAGUAUUUGUGCAACUUACCAUCAUUGAUUAUGUCCAAUCAUGAUUUUAUGAAUCAUCAAAAGAAUCUAGCAUGAGAGAAGAAGACCUUGAUGUAGCCAAAGAAGACUUGCCGAAUUUCCAAGAAAGCAAAAUGAAUAUUUGAAUAUAACAUGCUAUUGUAAAGAUAAAUUAAGAAAAAAAUAAAGAAUUAAAAAAUGGUAUAAAAUAGAUUGUAUAUAAACUAAUUUCAAUGAUUUAAAAAAAAAUCAUAUUUUUUACGUAGAAAUUUAUCCAAUAAAACUAGUUUGUCAAGGAUUGAGAAAAAAAUAUAUGAAACUUGACCAUGAUUUGAACCACAACAUCAAAGGAUUUUGGACUUGCUGUGGUUUACAUAUCAAAGAUCAAAAUAAAAUUGUGACUUCAACCAAAACAUCAAAAUGUUUAGACUUAUUGUGAUCAAAAUCAUGCAUAUCAGUGGUAUUUUCCUAUAAUUCAUCAGAAUAUCAAAAGAUUGAAAGAAAAUUGUGACUGCAACAUAAUUUUAGAACCUUAACUCAGAAUGCCAAAAGAAGUUUGCCGGCAAGUCAUCCUUGGCUGCAUUACAUGACCUCAUUCCCACAUGCAAGACAUUAGAUGAAUUAUUUGAAGCUAGUGAUCAUUCAAAUAGGCUAUAGAAAAAGAAAUCUAUGAUUCCUACACAAAACAAGGUACAAAAUCAAGUUAUUCAGUAUAACCAAUCAAAUGCAGCCCAUCACUGCCAUAACUGCAAGAACAGUUUUUUCCCCAAAUGAGGAAGACAACAUUACAUUGACAAAAGAAACAAACAAGCAAGGACUCUUAUAAGGGGUUAGCGAGUAACUAACUGGUAGAGGUGAAGAAGCCAAAAAAGUGGCUUUCUUGACAUGAAACAGACGAAUGGGGUUUUUAUGCAGAAAAAGGAUCUGAUGAGAAUAUAAAGAAAAUGUUCAUGCUACAUGACAUGGCAUGCCAGCUCUAGGCAUUAAUGAUGCUAGCAUCUCUGCAGAAGGGGAAGCUCUAUAACUGUUCCACUGUUGUCCUUUACUUAAAGGGAAAUCAGAAGAAGAAAAAAAUGUGUAUUCUGGAGGAUUCUUAUUGUUGGAUGUGACUUUGCAUGGUGAAGAAACCAAGGAAUAUGAGAACUUUAUUAGAUGCAUGCCCACCCCACCACCCUAGUUUUGUGUAGCUUCUCAUAUCAUCCCUCUGUGAUCAUUUAAGAGAACAGCAAAGACCCUUUUUCUUUAACUUGGAGUAUCUUUUGAUUGGAAGUAAACUUUCAUUUCUACAAAUACAAAAUCCAGUUCAAGAUCAUCUUUUUGAAUAGAUAUUCUUUCAAACACAUAUCUGUUGAUCCAACUUCCAAUCAUAUGUUUAAAAGAUAGUUAUCCGUUAAUUAUAUAAUAAUACCAGACAUAAAGAUGUAACAUCUAAUCGUAUAUUUAUCAGAUCAUUAUCUAUCAGCUAUAUGACAAGAUAUUGAUAAACAUGAAACAGAUUAUGUUCAAUGAACAGUAUCUACAUAAAUAAAUACUAUUCACUGAGUUGAAAACUGAUCUAUGUACAUUGUGUUAGGUGGAUCUAUUUAUUACAUUUGACCACAACUAUGCACGGAUUUAGUGUUCUAAGAAAUGUAUAGAUUUUAGCUUCACAAAAACAGAGAAUCUCUAACCUAAAUUUUCAAAACUCAGGUUAUGUGUUCGUAUAUGAUUGGAAUCCAAGUUGUCAUGGGAAUGCUGUUAGCUAGAUAUCUAGUAAGAAACAACAACUCUUACAAGUACUGAAGAAUGACAACAUGUUUUAUAACAGUUGAACAGUAGAAGUUUCCAAUUUUAAUCCAACUACUUAUGAAGUUCUCUUUCACUGGUACUCUUUGGCCUAAACUAAACCAAACUCUAUACAAUCGAAAUUGCUCCAGCGUUCAACAAUUCAUUGAUCAUAUAUCAGAUUUGUUAAUAAUAGCUUCAUUUUAGUUUUCAAUUUCUAAAUAACAAAGUAGGUGAAAAUUUGUUCACCUCAACCAUGUUAUUUGAUUCUGUCUUUCUAUUUGAUAGAAGCUGAAAAAAAUGUUGACUUUCAAUAGAGGUUCUACAGAGUAAUGACAUAAUCUAAAUAGCAUAGUUGCCUCUCUAAGAUAACAAGGACCAUCCAAUAUUUACAUAUUCAAUUUACACUGCAAAAAUCUUAAAUCAUUUCUCAGAAAACUUGGGUGCAUGGUUUAAGACAAACAACACAAAUGACUAAAACAACCUCAAUAUUAAUCGUACCAUUCAUUCUUUAUUAUUUUUGGAAGGACCAUUCCAGAAUUGAAUGAUGGGUUUUUGUACUGGUUAUCAUGAGUUAACUGAAAUUAAAUGCCUCAAACUCAGAAUAAAUCAACACUAGUUUAUCAAUGAAAAUAAUCCAAAUCCACAUUCCACACCCACAAUGUGGAAUCGAUAUCCUUGUCAAACCUCAUGAAUAGAAAAUUGAGAGAAAAUUAUCAAAAAUUGUUGAAAAAUAUUCACUAAAAUUGAUCGACCGAAUUCUCCAACCAAAAUAAAUCCUCAGUAAAGCCAGUAAUUCUCCAACCAGUAACACGAUUAUCCAAAACGUUGAAUGGGUCCAUGGUAUUUGGAUUUAUAUCACAUCGGAAUGAGUUCUAUUUCACGUCAAGAUAAUUCUAAAAAUGAAUUAGAAGAUAAAUUGAAUAAAAACUAUAAUUUAAACCGAAAAGUGUGGAGCCAAAGGAUGGAAUACAUUUGUUCUUGAUUCACCAUACAUAAUGAAGCAAGUAUAUACUAGGCCAACACUUCACCGAAUAAAACCAGGUUAAUUCCAAAUGGAGCCUCACAAGCCAUUUAUUUACAUGAACAGUCACAACUUUCGUGGCAUGUCCAAAGUCAAAGAAAUAAGAAAUAAUAAGAACAAAUCAUAAAUGCAAAUAUGGCCAUGAUGCUUUUGCAUCAAUCAGAUGAGAGCCAACAAAAACUAUUGCCUACGAAAUGAGUUGCAUAGAAUAAAUCAAACUGCAUUUCACAUAUAAAAUUACAAACCAGUGAACAAUACAAGUUGUUAAAUACAAACGAUCACUUAGCAACCGAAAUCCAAUUCAUCCACUCUCCAGGUAUCAUCAAAGUAUUAUUUAUCUAAUCCAAAUACCUGGAAAAGUGAAAUACACCAAAGCUCCAAAAGAAAUUCAGAUCACUGCAUCUCUCUCUAGGCCAUUGUUCACAGAAUUUAAACAAGUACUCAAGAACAGAAUUCUGAGAGUAACCCUAGUCACACCUUUGCACUGGCCAUUGGAUCACCAAGAUUUCAGAACACUCUUCUUUUCUUGUUGCAACUUUUGUUAGUAGUGGUAGACCAAUAUAAUUUAAAAGUGAAAUAAAUAAAAAUAAAUGUGGUUCAGUGCAGUUGAAUGCUAAUUAAGCUAAACAAAUGUACAGCACUGAUAAAUAUCCAAGCAUGUGUGAUAUUGGCAAAAAAAAAAAAAAAAAACUGCCAAAAUUGAUGGCAUAUUCGAAUACUGCUUUUGAAAAGAGUUUUUAUAUUUGAAAAAACUAAAAACAAAUCGGUUAAGAAUUUUUUUUCUCAAUCUUAGUGCAGAAAAAUGAAAACGCGUUUUAGUUGUUUAUUUCAUUUAACUCGUUAUAAUCAAUUUUCUAUUUUCACUUCGAACUACUACAGCCACAGUCACCAUCACUACCAAUGCUGUUGAAGUGCCUUCCAGCUUUCACAAUUUAUCCUCAAAACAGAAUUCAUCAAACAGAUCCUCUAUUUCGGAAUUACCAUAUACCAUACAAUGUCUUCUAAUAAUCUUACCACAAACAAGUUGUUGUCGACUAUGAGCUUCAGUCGUUGAGUUAACAACAUAUUAAGAUGUAAGUACAGCUUUCAUACUAUUAAAACUGAAAAGUGCAGUCACGUAAGGUACUCACAACACCCAUUUGUAUGAACUUUCAGAAUCAUAGAAGACAACAUGCCUUUACCUGUUCAUGCUGAUAUAGGCAAUAGAGGCACCUGCAAUACAUGACGCCAAAACUCCACCAAAUUUGAUGUGAUAGUGAAAAUAUGAGAAAAUAAAACCCAAAAACAGUAAAUAGUAUACAACUGAUGGAUGAAAGGUACAUGUUGUCUCAGUUUUAAAGUUAAAAAUAAACCACAAUAAUAACAGAAAGGCAAGCCAGCUUUAUAGGUUCUUGGGAGAACAAGUUAUCAAGCUUGGGAAUUAAGGUAAAAUGGACAUGGCCAAUUUCAAUAGUCUCCACAUAAGUUUGGUCCUCUAAGUAGUAGCGUCAGGGUGGGCCAUAAGUUUGUCAAACCCUGGUUCAUCAGGUCUUCUGGUUUAGGCAGUAGGCAGGCUGCGGGCUUCACAGAACUCAGCUGUUUGGGUGGUAAAGGAAAGGGAACAAAGGGAAAACAAUAUCAUCAGAAUUCUAAAUGGGACUGGUCAGGUUAAGAUAUCAAUCUCUUAUUUACUAUAGUAUAGGAAGUUGACAGUUCUAAAUUAGAGGAAGCUUCCAGAUAAAAGUAGACCAUUAAUGAAAAUUGCAUUCUACCUGCAGAGACUCAUUAAGUUCAGUAAGCAUGAUUUCUCCUCCGAGAAACACCACUCUGAGUUGACAACCUGGAAACAGGUACUAAAUAUUAGAAUUGAUGAAUUCAGGAACAGUCAUAUCAUAACAAAUUAUCAGUAAGAGUGACCUUUUCAAAACAUGGAUAGGAAAGAAUAAAGAAACUGUGAAUGUAAGGUAACUUGAUUCUAGUAAGGGGCAUUUUAGAAAAUAUUUCAAAGAAUGUUUUCCAAAAGGAUAUUCAAGUUAAAACUAUUAUUUUAGAAGACUAUAAAUCCACUCAUAAUAUUAACCCUUGAAGGGAUGGAUAACAAUCAAUGUUAUCAAUAGAAGAUAACAAUCUAUCGCAGUCAGCCUAAUAUCUGCCAUAUAAAUAUCACAUAUGGCAUGACAGCCUACUACGAAAAGUCAUAGUGGAUAAAUUUUAUUUUAUAUAAUGACAAACUAAUUUCACAACAUUCAUAAAAUUCUUAUGAUUGUUGAACACAACUCAUAAUAAUACUAAUAUUUUAUUAACCAAUUUGAGGAUGCAUUGCUUUAGUUUUCAGUGCUUGAUAUUAUCCUGUAAGUGGAAAAUAAUUGGUAACAAUGUUCUAGGAGCAAACAUACAUAAGAACAACAAACAAUGUCAAGAAGGAACAAGAAAAAACAGAAAACAAAACUUGGUUUCAAGGUUUAGGUCCUCAGAGCUUAUGUCGCCACUGUAAUUCAAGCUGCUGAAGCCACUGCCAUAGAUGACUCAAGAGACUUGAUGACAAAGAAAGGUCAUUCUCUAUUUCUUUCACAGCUCUGUUCUCACUCUGUGAAGAAGGUUCUCAUUCAUAAAAGAGGGCUCAUUCAUUCCCAUGUCCAGGCUUAGGGUUAUUUAAAAAUGGGUCAAACCCAAAACGAUGCUUUUGAAAAACAAAAAACAAAGGAAGAAACCGAUAUUUCACCAUAGGCACCAUGAACCACAUCACGUCCAUGGCAGGGUGCCAUGGCAUAAGACACCAUAUCCUUCAAACAGCAGAUGGUGGACGGCAACUAAUGGAAAUCAACACGCCAAUACCAUUAUGGCACUACCAUAACGGCAAUUUUAUAACGCUCAUGAUAACAAUGGACUAGACAUUAGUGUAUGCAGAACAUUGGGAAUUUUGUGGAAACAAAAUCCAUAGUAUCAAAUAAUAAAGUAGAAUUGUGGAAGCAAACGCCAGAAAACAAAAGGGGAGAAAAUUUAAUAUGUAAUUUCCUAUUAAAAUAAAUAUGCCAAUAAACAUCCAUAAAUCAAAUUUACAUAAGUGAAAUGCUAGUAGAAGCUUCCAUGACACAAGUUUCCAAAAGUGUUGUAUAAUCCAACUCCAACCUUUCUGUCCUUAAAAUCGAUUAGAGCUGAAAUCAAAUAUUCAACUGUGCAGUUAUCUUAUGUUAGGUUCAUUUUCAAAACUGAUAACCUAUAUAUUCAUCUAAGCUGAUAAUUACAGUGAAAAGUAAGAGAUAAAAAAACUUAAGGACAAAAUUAGACAUCAGGAAGAUUUAUUACCCAGCAGUACUAGACCGUCCCAAAGAAUAACUUCCAUAAGCCCCAUAAGCACUGCUACUUCCAAGCUACAGAUGCAUGAAACAAUAUUACAAACAUGGAACAAGAAAACACGGCUGAAAACCUGAAGAAUUCGGGCCCAUUUAAAUAUGAUUCUAAACUCAAGUCCAACUGAAGAGAAGUACCUGUGAACCACCAUAGCUUCCAUAAAUGUCACCACCUGUUGCAUCACUUGAGCCACCAUACCCACUUGAAUAAGAAUGUCCGCGUCCAUGUCUUUUACCAUCUCUACCAUCAAAGCUUAGGCCAUCUGAUCCAUCUGCUGAAACAGGCAGAUACGGCAUAACUGGAAGGAAUGCAGAGAGAGCACCCUCCCUAUCAAAAAUAUUCGCUCUCAACCGUGUAAGUACAUGCACCAGAGCCUCCUUGGCCACGUCAAGAUCUCCUGAAAUCUAAUCAGAACGGGUUUGGGGAGCCAAUGCAGUAGGACAGAAUGUUAGACUCUAUCACAGACAACAUUACUAGACCAAAGAAUGAAAGUGCCCUUACCUGCACCAUUUCAUCAUCUUCAGAUGCAAUCUUAGGAAGAUUAUCCUUCGAGAUUAUGCGAAUAUUAGCUUUUGUAAGCCUCCUCAUCUCAGUUAUGAUAGAUCCCCCUUUACCAAUAAGGCAACCAAUUCGUGAGGUUGAUACCAGAAGACGGGUUGUGAAAGAGAUGAUUCCUGAAUCUCUUUCAACCUUCUCACUGCAACGAGGUUGCAAUCGCACAGCUGCUUCUAUUGUUGGGGAGAAAGUCUCUUCAAAGAACUGUGUUAGCACAAGUUAUAAACCUCACAAAAUGCACAACAGCAAAAAUCAUACCAUAAAAAGUACAUUUAUAGCGGAAGUGGAAAAUGUAGGGCAGUGGGAGAUCAACAUGUCUCCUCAAUAAUUGAAAUGGUUACUAACCAUAUUUGGAUUUCAGUUGUAAUGGGGAAAUUGGGCUUUUCAAUGCAUUAAAGUAAAAGCAACAAGUUUGUUGAUUUUGGAAAAAACGUUUUGUAUGAUUUAACGCAACAUUUUUUCAUACAUGCCAUUCGUAGUGGCACAAUUUAGAAAAAAUAUCACCAUAUAGCACAAAAUACAAAUCAAGGGAGCUUUGUAAACUCGGAUCUUAACCGAGAGAUGGUGAUAAAGGCCCAUUAGGUGACCAUAAUUUUACCUCUUUUGUCGAAAUGGUGAUCAAGCAUUCCUCUCCUUCAGUUGGUGAACUAUCAACUUUAAUUGUUGCACCAGAAUCCUGCCUAAUUUGAUUUAUUAUCAUACCACCUUUUCCUAUAACACCUCCAAUGUUUCCUGUUGGGCAAACCAAUCGAACUGAAAACUCCUUUGAAGACCCCUCAUCCCUUGGAGCUGAGUACAUGGACCGUGGUGGCCAGUCACUAGUGUCACCUUUAUAUCCCCCAUAAGCUCCAACAAGGGGAGCUAUCCCCACAAUUGGAGCUCCUGGAGUUGGACCAAUGAGGGAACUACCAGCAGGAUAUACACCAGGAACAGCAGAAGUAAGAAGAUUCUGAGAUCGUGAAGGGUUAUCAUGAAGUCGAGAUGCUAUUUGAUGCAGAGCCCUUUUCACAACAGCGGCAUCCCCAGUAAUCUUGAGUUUCAAAAAGCCAAUAGAAAGCAAAUUAUAAACAAAUAUUAGUUUUCAACAGUAUCUAAACAAUAUAAACAAAAACAAGUCAGCCAAAUAGUAAUUCAUUUAAUACCAUAAUCAUCAAUUGCAUUAGUAAAUAAAUAAACUGAAAAAAUAACAUUGAAUUUAAUAAAAAUCUCAUCCAGUUCACCUGAACAAGCUCAUCAGAGCUCAAGGCGCACAAAGGUAAAUGAUCAUCCUUGAGUAUCCUAAUCUGGGCCCCAGUCUCACUACGAAUGUUCUGAACAAUCUGCCCGCCUUUCCCAAUGACACAACCAAUCUGAUCAGAUGGCACCAGCAGCUUAGCAGUCACUUGGUGACCUCCAUCAUCAUCCUGAUCACCAUGCAAGUCCUCAGCAACUAUUCUGUCAUGCACCUUAAACAGAGCAUCCUGAGCAGGAGACACGUAAUUCCCACCACCCUCAACAGAAUUAGUCUCAUCACUCGGGCUAUAAAUAGUAACAACUCGCUCUUCACAACCCGGCACAGUCUCACCAAUCCUGAUCUUGGCCUUGGUCUCCACCCUCAGUUGCUUAACAAUCUCACCUCCUCUACCAAUAACACUGCCAAUCUUUCGACCCGGGCAUACAUAUCGAAAAACUGUAUCUUCCGAAUCAAUCACAAACUGCUCUCUAUCCUCACCGUGAUUCCUCCUUUUAUUUGGUCCAUUAUCAUAAUCAGAUUGAGAGUGGGGACGCUUACCAUAACCACUCCUUUGGCCACCCAUUACGGUAAAUUCUCUAUACCAACUUCCAAAUCAAACAGACAAACAGCUUUCAAAAGGGUCUAGAUAUUCUGCAAAGGUCACAAACCCAGAUUUCAAACUACAAUCUAAAACAUUAUAAUAUUCAAUACAAUAAAAACACACAGGUAAUAAAUUUAAUAGGAUGGUCAAAGAAUCUAUUUUGAUGAUUGAAUUGAGAAAAGGACCAACUACUUUUGCAGGGUAUGCUAACAUAAACUCACAUAUGCAACAGAACAAUCAGAUCCAUCGUAUGAAUAUGAACUACAUAUAGAAAUCAGGCUAAAAUAUCGACUUUAUUGAACUUUCAGCGAGAAUCACCCAUUAUUAUUACUUAAAGUAAAUACCCAGACCAUAGGGUAAUUGGAAUUGGGAUGAAAAUACAAUUGAAAAAUAAAAGAAAAAAGUUUUAUCGAAUAAGAUAAAGAAAGAAAAAAAGGAAAAGAUUGUGAGAUCUGGGAAGAGAAGGAGUGAUGCGAUGCUUACAAGGUGGAAUUGGAAUUUGGAUGAACCCAGCAGAAAAGUCGUCGCUUGAGGAGACAGGGAAUCUAUCUUAAUUUCAAUUGCGUUAGGGUUGGGUUAAUCGUCAUUUAACACAAAUGAUCUGUCAAUUUAUAUUUUUCAUUAAUGUUUUAAAAAGGUCAUAUUUUUACUAAUGUAUUUUUGUUAUAUAUAUAUAUAUAUAUAUAUAUAUAUAUAUAUAUAUAAGAUUUGGAUGUUGCCAUUAUUGUUCUGUUAAAACUUGUAAUUUUAAAAUCAAAUUAUCAUUAAAUUAAUUCUUAUGAGCCAUGAUAUAUUCUAUCUGUUUGAAUUAUAUUUAAUUCUUUCAUAGUUUGUUGAUAUUUCACAUUCAAUAUUAAAGCUGCAACAAAUAGUCUUUUUUAUUUUUUUAAUGUAAUUUUAAGAACAUAUAAUUAUAUGGAUGAUGCAUUUUUUUCAUAGUAUAUUCUUUCUGGUCUAUUUUAUAUGAUGACUUAUAAGGUUUCAAACAUAUGCUGAACAAUAUAAUUAAUAUUAUUUAGUUAUAAGUUAAAUUUUGUAAUUGCGUUUUGAUUUUGGUUUUAUGAUAUUCUAAAGUUGUAAAUAAAUUCAAGAUCUUCCUCAUGGAAUUCGUUAAUAAUUUAUGUUUGAAUAAAAUUUAAAUCAUGAGUUAGGUAAUAUAUGAUUAAAGAUAUAAUAUGAAUAUAUAAUUCGUUAAGAAAAACUGUUAAUUAAUGGAUUUUUUUUCUUUUGAUGUAUACAUUUUAUAUUUCUAUUUUAUUCUUAACUAUAUUUAUAAAAUUAAAAAAAUCUGUUUACUUUUAAAUUUUCGUUUUAAUAUUAUUCAUAUUUUAAAAUUAAAAAUUUAUCCAAAUAUUAAGAAUAUUGUCGAAAUCAUUCAUUACUUUUUAUGUAACUAUCGCUAUCAAUAUUGUUUUUUUACAAUAUAUUUUAUAUAGCCAUUAUUAUAGUUUUUCCGUAAAAUCUAUGGAAGCAGAAAUGUUUCUUCGCUAUAUCUUAUAAAAUAAAUGUUACUUAUCGAUAUUACCUAUUUUGGUUUAUAUAUUUGUUUUCAAGUCCUAUAAAAAUAUUUUAAAUAAAAAUCAUUUUUAUCAAUUUUACGUUUUUGGUAAUUUUAUUAUUUUUUAUUUGGUGCUUUUUUUUAAAAAAAUUUAACUAUUUUUAUAAACUAAAAUAACUAUUUAUCUAAAACUAAGCUAUAUUAAAAUUCUAAAAAAAAAUUAAAUUUACUUUUAUGAUUAUAAAAAUAAUAUUUUCACCAUUAUUUGUAUUUUAUAUAUAUAAUCAACAUUGAUAAAAAUAAUAAUAAAAAAUAUUAUGAAUACACUCUCUACCCCACCACACACACAGACACACAUAAAUAAGCACACAGACACACAUACCACACACACAGAGACACAUAUAAAUACGCACACACAGACACUCACACAUAAAUAAACAAACAAACGCAGACAUAGACACAUACAGACGCACAUCAACACACACAUAAACAGACACACACACACACAAACACAUAGAGACACACAUAUUGACACACAAACACACACACACACAAACACAAACAUACACAAACACAUACACACACAUACACAUAUAUAGACACACACAUAGAGAGACAUACGCACAGACGCAAACACACACACACAAACAGACACACAGGCACACACACACAGACACACACACAUAGACACACGCACACCGACGGACAAACACAAAGGCGCACACACAGACACAUACACACAUAGAGACACACACAAACUUUCUUGGUAAUUGAAUUUUUUAUAAUAAUUUAAAAAUAUAUUAUUGAUUAUCAUGCCAAGUCUCUGAUUUGCUUGAUACUCAAAUAAAAAAUAGUUUUCUAGUAUUUUUGUAAAUAAAUAUAAAUACUUGAGUGUUUGUUCUCUUUAUUUUAGUAUUUAAUGCUUUAUUUUUUUUUCUCAGUCAUGCAAAAAUUACUAAAGAAAUAUUAAAUUUUCAAAAUCAAAAACAGUUUUAUCUUUCACUUGUUUUUGUGUCUAUUUGGUUGUUCAGGUUAUGUGACUCUAUUUUUUUUAAUAAUUGGAAAAUACAAAACAAAAUCAUAAAAUUCUCAAAAUAAAAAAUAUCAAAAUUCACAAAUGAAAUUUUCUGCCAAAACUACAUGAUCUUUGAUUCUUCAUUAAUAGUGGAGAUACGUAAGAGCAAAACUAGUCCUUGUUAGAUUCAUUUCCCUAAAAUCCAAAUCAUUUUCUAAAAAAAAAUCAUUUUCAAUGAAGUGUUUUAAAAAAACUACAUAUCCUUGAUUUCUCACAUGAGAAUAUGUAGGAGCAAAGUUAAUCCUUUACGGGCUUCCUAAAUAUAAAAAAUAUUUUUGUUUCUUUCGUGUUGUCUUGCACUGUUAUUUUUGGAAAGAAAUGACAUUUUAAAACUCACAUAAACUUUAUACAUUAAAUUAAAGACAUUGCUAUUUGGGCAGACGUUGUAAGGUACUAGUACAUAACCGACUCCGGACUUAAAAUCUUGAUUUGAAGACCAUGACUUAUCAUUUUGUGGUUUUUAUGUAGUUUUUCAUAAUAAAAUAUGGUGGUGACUCCUAAACUCACUUUCAAAAUUUCAUUUAUUUUAUUUUACAAUGGUCUCACUGUCCCGUCACAAUCCCGGUUAUGACAUACCACCACAUAGGACUUGUACACGAGACUUUUACCCCACACAAGCUCUGACUAUAAAAACACAAUGGUACUUGCAUAAAAUAUUUUUUAUUUUAUUAAUAGAUAAUAUUCCAAUCACACCUUCAAUGACGUGUACUUCCAUGGUCUUACACUUGUCGUGCAAUAUAAGUUCUUCAUGCAUCUUAUCGACCUAUUUAGGCUUUACACUAAGCUAUUUGAGCUCUCCAUGCAUUUUACCUGGCUAUCCAAACUUUAUGUCGAGCUAUCUUAGUUCUCCAUGCACCUUAUCGCACUAUCUGGACUUACCAUACUAUCAAGACUUCCUACUGAGCUAUCCAGAUAUCUUGCGGACUUGAGGACAUAAUGUACAUGUCUUAAACAGGUUCGAGACUUGAAACACAAUUUGCCACGUAAAAAAGAACUAAUGAUAUUCGUCUUGAAAAACUAAAUCCAUGAUUUUAAGAAGAAAUAAGUAAAAUACAAUUAAAUUUGAAAGAGAAACUGAAAACACAUAAUAGUAAAUGAAUCAAAAAUAUAAUUAAUCUUAUAUUAAAUUUUACAUUUAUGAUAAUUAUAUAUUACAUUUAAUAUGAUACAAUAUGUAUUAAGUGUAAUAUUUAUGAUACUGUAAAAUUAAUAGAAAAAAAGAAUAUUUUUAGAGCUCUCAAAACGGACCAUCCGGUCCGACCCAACCCGGUCCAUCACGGGUUGGUCACUUAGUGAGCCAACCCAACCCGGCUCAUUUAUUAACGAACCAGAAAAAUUCGAACUCAGUCCCGACCCACCAUGAGUUGGUGGAUAAACGGAUUGACUCAUUGACUCACUUAAUUACAAUUUUUUUGAAUAAAAAAAAUACAAACAUUCUAUAAUUCAAAUCUAAAUAAAUUUUACUCUCAACAUAAAUGUUUAAUUAAUUUUGAAAAUAAGGAACUUAAAUAUUUUUUUUUAAAAAAAUAAUAAAUAUUUCUUUUAUAAAAUUAAAAUUAAAUUUUAAUAAAAUAAAAUUAGGUAGUGGAUUAGUGAGUCAACCCGGUCCACCACGGAUUCAACCCGUAUGAGCGAGACUUAAAUGUGACGAGUUAGAAUCUGACCCGCAUAAAAAAAAUAGGUUUAAUAGCCAAUUUUGUCCUCAGUUUCGUUGACAAAUCUCAAUUUAGUCCCUUGUUUUAAAAGUGAUUGAAAUGGGUCCUUACUUUCAAAAUUGUGAGUCAAAUUAGUCCCUUUCAUCAAACAGAAACAAACAACGUUAAGGGCUUGAUGAUUUGGCAGAAGAGAUAUUAUUUUAUAGAUAUGCUAAAUCAUUAAACCCUUAAGACCAUUUGAUUCUGUUUAACAAAAGAGACUAAUUUGACUCAAAAUUUUGAAAGUGAGGACUCAUUUCAAACACUUUUAAAACGAGGGACUAAAUUGAGAUUUGUCAACGAAACUGGAGACAAAAUUGGCUAUUAAGCCAAAAAAAUACAUUUUUUUUCAAAUUUAACACAACUCGAACUCGUGGUGGGCCAGAUUAACCCGCAGGUUGUGACCCAUUUUGACAGUUCUAAAUAUUUUAUUACAAUGUUAUGGGUUUAAAAUCUUUAUUCAUUUUGUUAUGGGUUUAAAUAUAUAUACAAAGCUUGAUUUCAUUCCUUUCUGUAAAUUUUUAGGAUAUUUCUUAGAAAAAUUGAAUUUAAUUUCACUCGGAUGUGCGAACUAUUCAACGGUAAUAAUAAGUCAUUUUGCAAAAGAAAAGCAGAGAAACAAAACUAUUAUAAAAUGAGAGAAAAAAAUUUGAACGUUAUAAACUAAAUAAUUUAAUAUAAACUAAAUAAUUUAAUAUCACAUAAUAUUUUAAUGCAUUAAAUACUCCGACAUAAUAUUUAAUUUCACAUAAAAAUAAAUAAAAAUAUAACAUAUAUAUUCAUUAUUAAAUUUAUCAAUAUAUAUAUAUAUAUAUAUGGUUGGUAUAACAUUUUACACACUCAGUGUUAGUAAAAACAUUUUAAAAUUUAAAAUACUUAUUAUAAAAAGUGAAUAAUCUUUAAUACUUUUUAAUUAUGUGUAAAAAUAUUAUACAUCGUAAUUUAUAAUUAAAUAACAUUUCGAAAGAUUAUAUAUCAGUACAAUUUCAUUAGAGAAAGUAGUUCAAUCCUUAAUUAUAUACAAUCACACUUUCAUUCAAUUAUAAAAUACAAUAUAUAAUAAAUUUGUCCACUAACCAUAAAACCUAUUUUGGUUUUCAAUGGAAAGUUUUAAACCCACAAUACAUACAAGUAAAUGUUUUUCAAAAGAAACUUAUAUAUAUCAUGUAUUAAAUAAAUUCCCUAAUAUCAAAAUUAAAUAAAAAAAUUAAAUAUACAUUAAUUUUCUCUGUGAUAUGACUUAAUUUAAAUAAGGCACUCAAUUUAAUCAACCUAUAUUGUAAUUGGACCGAAAGUUUAACGUAUAAAAGUAAUUAAAUAUCUUUAAUUGAAUUGAAAAAAUUUAUAGCAUUCACUAAUUAAUUUCCUGAAAUAAUAAUAAAGUAAAAAAAUUAAAUUAAUAAGCAUUUAUGAUUUUUCUUAACCGUUAUGACUAAAUUAAAACAAACCCACAUGAUGUAACGAGUUCAUCAUCCACAAUUGUUUUUAGGAUAUCUUUGUCUCUAUCUUUCUCUAGUGCGUUGUUUCUAACAUAUAUUCUUCACAAACACUUUCUAAUCACUCUCAAACAUUUCUCUGAAUCCAAAACACAUUUCUCUCUCCUUUCAUCAAACACUUUGCUCAUUCACUCUAAUUCCAUGGCUUCUUCUCUCAGAAUUGACGAAACAGUGCCUGCUUCGAAGGUGGUGCACUUUCGAAACCUUCCUGAACAGUGUUCUCAUGAGGAUCUCAUAGAGUUGUGCAGUCCUUUUGGUAAAGUGGUUAAUCUUUUGUGCAAUGUUGGCCCCAAUAAGAACCAGGGUUUUGCUGAGUUUGUAAGUUCUUUCACUCUUUCAUAUUUAAGUAUGUUUUCUGUUCUCUUUUCUACUCAUGAAUGCAUGUUAUUAUUUGAGUGAGACAAACCUAGGAUAUACUUUAUACUUAUUUAACUUAAAUUCACACAAGUAUUGGAAGAGAUAUAUUAAAGCUAUAGAAAGUGUUGAAUGGUAUAUAAGGAAUGUUUGAUAUUAUGGUAUAUAUAUAUAUAUAUUGAUAUGAAUCCAAUUAACAUUGGUGUGAUGACAUUAAGUAAUGUUGCUUUCAAGGUCUUUAUAGAAGAAGAUUCAACUAGAGAUUAGAUUAUGAAGAUUUAUGGAAACAAUUUAGGAUAGAAUGUAAUGACCCUUUUAGUUUUUCAUUUUAUAGAAUAUGAGUGAAGUUAAAUGAAUGAAUAUAAUCAUAAUAACUAUAAUAUAUGUCUGAUUUUCUAAUAAAAUCUGGACUUUGUCUUGUUGAUUUUUGAACUUAUAUGGUUCUCUUCUCACAUGUUAAGUUUAAAUGUUUAACAGGCAGAUAUAAAUGAAGCCACUUCAAUGGUUUCAAAUUAUGCUUCGUCUCCAGAUCGUGUUCAACUUCAUGGCAGAAAUAUUUAUGUGCAGUAUUCUGAUAGACCAGAAAUUGUUGUUACCAGAUUCGCAAAAGGAAAUAUCCUUCUGGUAACCAUGGAAGAUGUGAAAGCUGGAGAUGUAAGCAUUGAUAGCAUGCGUUCGGUGAGUCAUAUAUAGUUGUCAAUUGAGUUGGAUUUCAAAAAAGUUAGAUGUUAAAAAUCUUAAUUAGAGAUAAAAUGGUUAAGAAGUAAAUUUAAACUCAAUUUUAUCGAAACUAAUUUAUAACAUAAAUUUUAAAUUUACACUUAUAUAUAUAUAUAUAUAUAUAUAUAUAUAUAUAUAUAUAUAUAUGUAUGUAUAUAUAUUGUAAAUUGAAUUUUUAUAAUUAAGGUAAGAUUUUUAACAAAAAUAAAUUUAUUACAAAUAUUAUUUUAUAAAUCAGUUAUAUAAAAUUAAAUUAAUUUAUUUUUUUAAAAUUUAUACAUUUUUAAUUUGGAUAUAUUCUACAUGAAUUAUAAACAAAACCUAUACAUAGCAAACCCAUUAUUCAUUUAAAAAAUUAAAAAAGUUGCUCUUUAAAACCUGACGUAGAACUAAUCUAAAUUUAGUCAACUAAGCAUGUAUUUACAAACAAUAAACUUCCCUUUUGAACAUGAUACCCAUGAUGAUCGAAUAACGACAAACCUCAUGGAACCCUUACGAUUAAGUUAAGUCCUUUUUCCAAAAACCAACAUUAUAAUGCAAGAAAUGCCUCAUGGGUCCUUUUACAACACCAUUUGAAUCCAAUCUAACCUGUAACAUUUAUUUCAAACCUAAUUGAACACUUGCGAGAAAACAUAGAAUGAUAUGUGAUGCUCUUUCUUCAUCCUCUUGAAAAACUAGGUAUGAAAGUUGUAUGUGAGUGUUGAGCCUUUUUAUUUUCUUGUUGUUUAGUGUCUAACAUUAUUUUAUUAAGGAAAUAUUUGGUAGUAUUAUAUAUUUAAACUUUAUAAAUGACUAAAAUUAUAACAACUUAAUUAUAUUAAUUAUACACGAGGAUAUAGGUCAUUUUAAAAAAUCAGUAUUCUCCUAUCAAGAGGCUUAUAACUUUUCAAUAUGUUUAUGUGGUCUUUCCAAAAAAAAAAACUUUUUCUCAUAUUCUUAAAUAUUCUUAAAUAUCAUGUCUCUCCUAUCUUUUCUAUACCUUUAAAAAAGAAAAGAAAAGAAAAGCUAUUCACUUAGGUCUUGCAUAACACUUAUCAUGUUCCACUUAAGCAACUAUUUUUUAUGAAAAAAAUGAUUAAGUUCUUGAGGAAGAAUACUAUUAAAAGAUGAACUUUAAAACUGACUCAACUUUACAAAACUAGCUUGUAAAGUGAGAUUCAUAUAUAUUUAUAACUGUAAACUUGUUGUAUUUGUAGUUGGUGUGAGAUCUCCAACACCCUCUCACACAAGAUAUACAUCUCGAGUGUGAGACUAAACAUUGAUAUGAUGGAGUGAAGAAUUGAAACAAGAGCUAAUAAGAUCGAAAUAACUAAUAUAGAUAAAUAUAUUGAGAUUGAACUUCAACUAUCUUCUUCAACUGUACUACACACCACUGAUUCAAUAUAAAAUAAUGCAGUUAUCUCUAGUGUCACUAAAAGUGAAUGGCUCAAUCUAAGCAUUGAAUUUAGAAAUCUAAGGAUUUCAAUCAUUUCCUCAACUACUAAUGAAUGAAUCCUUGAUUUAAGUGCAUGACUUAACUCAAGCAUUCAACUUCAUUCCCAACAUUCAAACACAUUAUACCAUUUGAUUGGACCUUAGAUUUAAGUAGUUUUCCAAAUCAAUCUAAAUUAGUUAAAUUAGAUGAGUAAUCAGUUCAUCAACAUUCAAGUAUAAAUCAAACCAUUAACACUAAAUAAAAGAAUAAUUAUAUAUAUAAAUCAGCACUAGUAUAGAGAAUUAGAAAAGGUUGCAUCUAACAUGAAUACAAGAGAUUUUAGCCACUCAUAAUGAUGACUCUAGUUACGAACAUAUGGAAUUAUUUUCCUCUCUCAUAACUCUCUCAAAAUGUUACAAAGGAAAUAGAGAAAAUUGAGCAAAAAAUGUUUAAGAGAGAGAGCUCCCUAAAACAUAGCAACAUUAUGUUUUUAUAGAAAUAAAAGUUGAUGCUCAACUCCAGCCUUCAGUACUCAACUGUAGAGGUUUCCUUCUAUGCAAGGUUUUCUUGUGACAUCUUCUGUUUUAGUUUUAAGCUUUUGAGGUAUUCUCUUUGGGAAUGUGUUCUCUAGGCCCAACUCUUCAUCUUAAUUAGGGCUCAAACUCUACAAAUUGGACCAAUUUAGGUUUCCUUCUCCUAAGGGUUUUCUUCCAUGGCUCAAUGCCUAGCUUUGUUGCUUAAUGCCUCUACAAAAAUGUACGUUUUUUUUUAAAAAAAAAUCAUUAAAAUCACACUUAACUAAUUAUCAGUACCACAUUAUUUAUCUUUAAAGUAAGAGGAUCUAAUUUACUUAAGAAUAUAUCAAAUUUAUGCAUUUUAAAAAAAUAUAUCAAAUCAGUUAAGUUCUCCACUUAUAAUGUGAAUAAGAUAAAAGGAUGAUAAUGAUUAAACAACUUUAUAAGGAUUGAUGUGUAGUAAAAUCAACUUAUUCAAUGAAUCAAGAUUGAAUGUUUAAGGAAGAUAAUGACUUUUUGGGUACCUGUGGGAAAUAAAAGCUAAUACAAAGGCUUGGCAUUUCAUUCUAAGAUUUGAAAGUGUAUCUUUCCCCUAUGCCUGAAUAAUUUCUUCAUUUAUAAGUUUGAGUUUGGUUUUGAUAGUAUUGUCCCAAUAAGAUAAGACUCUUGUACUAUUGCUUGUGCAAAUAUUAUUAAUACACCACACAAAAUAUUCCAAUAUGAAGUUCAUGUUUGAGUAGGCUUAAACAAGUGUAUUUAAUUUCUGGUUGUUCACCAAUGAAUUCAAUUUUUUUUACACAUCAUGGUUGAGUUUAAAAAUCUACUUAAGUAAGUAUUAGAUCACUCUUUGUUCCCACUUCUUACAAAUGUUACUCGAUUUUGAACUAUUGUCUUACAUUAACUUAUUGACAAAUAACUUUUUCUUUUGCUUGUUUGAAAAGAGGAAAAUUGCUCUUUACGUUAGAUUCAGUUAACUUCAAUUUUUUUUAGUAGAAAUCUCAUACAACAGAUUAGACAUGAAAUAACCAUCCCCUUGUUCAUAAUCACUCUUCAUGUUAUUUGAUUUGAAUUAUCAUUAACUCUAAAUAGUGAAAUUUACUCAUCUUGAAUUACAUACAUUUAUGUUUGUAUAUUAGAAAAUUCUCAAAUUUUGUACUUAGGAGUAUGUAUAAGGGAAGAUAUUUUGGAGGAUUAUUAGUUCACAGUUUCAAAUAGAGAAGGAAAUUGAGAGAUAUUUAUGAUAUAGUAAAUAUAAAUUAUUUUUAUCCUUUUCAUGUUCGAGUUCUAUAUAAUAUAUUUAUUAAUUACCAACUUAAAAAAAAGGAAAAAAAUCUUAUUGAAAAAUAUAUAUUUAAUCAUUUUCUCUAUAAAUUUCUAUAAAUUGAAGAACAAGAAAGAGAACAUUUCUCCUAAAAUCAUUUGGUUACUUUCGAAUGUUGAAUCCGUCUUUUCGAUUCUUUUUAGAUCCAUAGCCUAUAGAAACUCUAGAUACCAUCCAAGUUGAUUCCUUCCUUGAAUUUUCCUCAAAUGAAAUUUGAAAUUACAAAAGGGAGUUGACAUAUUCACAUAACCAUUUGCUUGCUUCUAUGCUUUUGGUGCAUCAAGAGUAAUAUUUUUGUGGAUAUUGUAGCUUAUUACAACCUAUUUUUUUUGACCAUGAUCAUUGUCUCCUAAGAAUGUAACAUUGCCAUAAAUUCGUAGGCUCUAAUCAUAAUUUUUUAACCAGAAUAAUUCCAAAUAAUUUUGAAUCACUUUAGACAGAUAAUUGCUAAGGCAAUGUCAGAUAGUCAACUUUGGCGAUUUCUUGUUCUAUAACCUCUUAUUUUUUAUUUUAAUGUAUGUUUGCUAAUUGGGGUUAGAAUAUUCUUUUAUUUCUUUUUUUCUUUUUCUUCAGGUCUUCUCUGUAUAUGGUUUCGUACAAAAAAUUUCAACAUUUGAAAAGAACGCAGGUUUCCAGGUUAGUUGAAUUAGUAAUAUAUGAGCUUCUUGUGUCAUUGUUAAGAUAUAAUACUUAGAGAUUUGUAGGAAGUACUUGAUCUUAGAAAAUUCAACCGCAAGUAUUAAGUAUAUAAAAAUUUGUCAAGCAAUAUAUAAAGAAGAGAAUUCAUAAAAUUUAUUAUAAUAAGAUUUUGAAUUGGAAAAUGAUAUUAAAUCUUUUAUAUAGAUUUGAUAAAAAGCUCAUUAUUAUUAAAUAUUUCCCAUAAAUUUUCUAUGAAAAAUCCCAUCACAUUAUUCAGAUAAACAUUGUGUAAUUAAUAUCCCAUCAUUGUAUAUAUAUAUAUUCACUGUUAUUUUUGGGCAGGCUUUGAUUCAGUUUGCUGAUAUUGAAUCUGCUUCUACUGCUAAGGAAGCACUGGACGGAAAAAAAAUACCUAGGCAUGCAGAGCUUUUACAUUUCGUCUUUAAUUUGUUCUUCUCCUUCAUCGAUCUGUAAUUAAUUUUGGUGAUUAAUUCUAAAUAAAUCUUAAUUUUGCUUAUUUAUGCCUUUUGGAUCCAGGUCCUUGCUGCCAGACCGUAUUAGUGAUUGUAACUUUCACAUUGCAUACUCAGGCCAUCGAGAUCUUAAUAUUAAGUUUCAGUCUAAUCGUAGCAGGUAACAAUGGACAUCAAAGACAAAUGAAUCUUCAUAUCUUAAUUUUGUUAUAUGAAAAUAAAUUAGGUUUAAAUUGAUUUCUUAAUAUAUAGUAUAACUUUGUAUUAGUUUGUAUUUUGAAUGGAAUCUUAGUUUCAAUAAUCACGGAGUAAAAUUAGUUAUUAUUGUAAAAUUACUUUCCUCUUGUGAAAACUAGUGGAACAAAAAUUUUAUUUUGCAUCUGGGUAUAUGUUCUGUAGAUUAUAUGAAAGAAUUAAUAUUGUCCUUAAUAGAAUUUAUAAUAUCCUUUUAAUAUCUAUUUAUGGAAGGUAUUUGAAUUUUAAAAAUGCACAACUACAUUUUAUAAUUUUCUUUUUGUUCUAAUCCGUGGUUGAUUAUGCCAUAAUUCCAAGUGGCCAUGUUUUGGGUGAUACUUUCCUUAUUAAGUUUGAAUCCUUAUUUUACAAAAUCAAGCAAUUCAAGGAAGAAGAAUUAAGAAAAAAAAAAUCUAAUUAUGCAAUCUUUGAGUGAAUGUGCAAAUGGUUUUCUAGAAUAUCAUUUCUAUGGGAAAUUGUAAUUAAUUGCAUGAAUGAGCUUCUUUUGCACAGUAAGAAGGAGAAUAUAGAUAUAUAUACACAUUCAAUAACUACUUUCUUUUUAGGCUUUAUAUUUGCAUGUUCACAUUAAAAACUCAUAAUUUUACACAUACUUUUUGUGUUAUGAUUUUGCAGGGACUACACAGAUGCUACUCUUCCUGUUAACCAGGCUACUAUUGCUAGGGCAUUGCAGGUAUUUUCUUACUACUUUUCUUUGAUGAAUUUAUGUUCUUGUUUAUCAUAUGUUAUGUGCUAAUGAUUUAUGAUGCUCAGCCAAUACCUCGAACUGCUGACAACCAUGUACUUUUAGUUUCAUUCGAGAAUCUGGUCCGUGAUGUCACUUUAGAUGUUCUUCAUGGGGUGAGUUUGUGUUCCUCAAUUUCAUUCAAUUUUUUAUCUUUAUAUUAAUGCAGUUGACACACACACACACACACAUAUAUAUAUAUAUAUAUAUAUAUAUAUAUAUAUAUAUAUAUGUUGCAGGUGUUCUCUGAAAUUGGAACUGUGCACAAAAUAUAUAUAUUUAGAAAGAACGGUCGAACUCACGCACUGAUUCAGUAC